rnacentral:lncRNA from 1 species
CCUUGUCUAGGCCCUCAUGGGUGAGGGCCGGCCCAUGCUUUUUUGCCAUCCCUAUACACGAUCAUGUGGGUUAAGAGUACACUUGAGGCAUUCAAAAAACGGUCAAAAGUACCCCUACGAGUUCAAAAUUGAUUGGUGUUAAAAUUGUAUGUUCAUUAAAGGGUAACAAUAGAAUUUUGUCCUUAUAUUAUAAUUUAAAUUUGUAUUUAUAUAAUAGAUUGUGAAUUUCUAAGUAUGUUUCUAAAUAUUUGAUCUGGUACAUUUUUGUGUGUUUAUUAGAUAAAAUAAUAAUUUCAUGCAAUUCGAGGCUCCAAACUUAUGUAUGGACGUUAAAUUUAGAUUUCAGAGGUCUGAGCAGUUAGGUCAUUAUUGAGGAUUAUCCACAACUUUUGUUAUAAAAUUAUAAGUUUUUAUCACGUUAAGUGUGUUAAUUGUGAAAUUAUAAGCUUUUGCUAUGUUAGGUGUGUUAAUUGUUAGUUUAAUGAGUUGUGUGUGCUUAAGUGGAUUGAAUUAGGUUUAUGUUUGGUUAGUGGAACAAAUGUACGACCAUGAUGUGGAUUUAUCAUGAAUUAGUAUGAAUAGAGAAGAGGGAACACACCUCUCUACCCACCUUUUUUCACUUCUUUCUCUCCAAAUUCUUCUCCUCUUCUCUCAUCUUAAUAAUAUUUUAAUAAUUUGUAAUAUAUUUUCAAUAAAUAAAAUUA